GCCCCCGUAGCUCAGGUGGAUAGAGCAACGGCCUCCGGAGCCGUGUGCGGCCGUUCGAAUCGGCCCGGGGGUACUA
rnacentral:tRNA from 2 species